rnacentral:lncRNA from 1 species
CUUUUCCUCUUCUCCUACCCAAACUCUUCUUUUUUUUCCUUUUCAAAACAUUCUUCUUGCAGUGAAGAAUGAAAAUAGGGCUGCAAAGGUAGGAAAUCUUAAUGAAAACUAUUUAAAAUCCGCAGCUGUGGCUGUGAAGGUAGCAUCAGUUAAAAGGAAGAUGAAGAAAGCCCCACAGCUCGGCACCAGUCACAAGGUUUUGGAGGUCCCUCUCAGGUCAGUUCCUGGAACUUGUCACAACCUGAGUGGCUCUCUGGACUGUCAUCUGCAAACCCCAGGCCACAGGACCUGAGCCCAGGCUGCCUUCUCUAUGACCUGAGGCCUUGGGGAUCUGGGCCUGCACGGUGCCCAGGACAGAGGCUGGAACCUCACUGGACAACCAACAAGGACUCGGAGGGGAGCUGAGGUCAGCGCGGGACCCUUUCCUCCCUGCCCCAAACCAGAAGUAGCCACUGCUCGUGGCUCCCAUGAGGCCCUUCCUUCCAGCUGUCAGAGCCUCAGUGUCCACCUCUAGCUGCCCAAGCGCAGCCGCAAAGGAGCCUUCACCUGAAACCAAUCACCCACUUGGAGGCGCAAGUCACCAUGGGAGCCACGGGUGCCCCCUCGUGGUCACAGAGAGGACUGCAGGCCCAGUUUGUUGAGGUGAGGCCGAGAUGUACUAGGUU